GCCCCGGUAAACGGCGGCCGUAACUAUAACGGUCCUAAGGUAGCGAAAUUCCUUGUCGGGUAAGUUCCGACCUGCACGAAUGGCGUAAUGAUGGCCAGGCUGUCUCCACCCGAGACUCAGUGAAAUUGAACUCGCUGUGAAGAUGCAGUGUACCCGCGGCAAGACGGAAAGACCCCGUGAACCUUUACUAUAGCUUGACACUGAACAUUGAGCCUUGAUGUGUAGGAUAGGUGGGAGGCUUUGAAGUGUGGACGCCAGUCUGCAUGGAGCCGACCUUGAAAUACCACCCUUUAAUGUUUGAUGUUCUAACGUUGGCCCGUAAUCCGGGUUGCGGACAGUGUCUGGUGGGUAGUUUGACUGGGGCGGUCUCCUCCUAAAGAGUAACGGAGGAGCACGAAGGUUGGCUAAUCCUGGUCGGACAUCAGGAGGUUAGUGCAAUGGCAUAAGCCAGCUUGACUGCGAGCGUGACGGCGCGAGCAGGUGCGAAAGCAGGUCAUAGUGAUCCGGUGGUUCUGAAUGGAAGGGCCAUCGCUCAACGGAUAAAAGGUACUCCGGGGAUAACAGGCUGAUACCGCCCAAGAGUUCAUAUCGACGGCGGUGUUUGGCACCUCGAUGUCGGCUCAUCACAUCCUGGGGCUGAAGUAGGUCCCAAGGGUAUGGCUGUUCGCCAUUUAAAGUGGUACGCGAGCUGGGUUUAGAACGUCGUGAGACAGUUCGGUCCCUAUCUGCCGUGGGCGCUGGAGAACUGAGGGGGGCUGCUCCUAGUACGAGAGGACCGGAGUGGACGCAUCACUGGUGUUCGGGUUGUCAUGCCAAUGGCACUGCCCGGUAGCUAAAUGCGGAAGAGAUAAGUGCUGAAAGCAUCUAAGCACGAAACUUGCCCCG
rnacentral:rRNA from 1 species